GUGUUGGCUGGCAAUUCUUGGUGUCCUGGGCUUGUAGACACGUCACUCCAGUUCCUGCCUCCAUCUUCACAUGGCUUUCUCCUCUGUGUGCCCCUUAUAAGGGAACCUGUCAUUGGAUUUAGGGCCUGUUAUGGAUUGAAUUGUGUCCCCCAAUUCAAUAUAUGUUGUAAACCCUAACCCCUAUACCUGUGGUUUAACGACGAUUGUAAGGAUGGCACAGGACCAGGCAGUGUUUCGUUCUGUUGUACAUAGGGUCACUAUGAGUCGGAACCGACUCGGCGGCACCUGACAACAACAACAACACUUGUGGUUAGAAUCCCAUUUGGGAUUACGUUUUCUUCGUUAUGUUAAGGAGGCAGUAUUAGUGUAGGGUGUGUCUUGAGUCAAUCUCUUUCGAGAUAUAAAAGGAGUAGAUUAAGCAAGCAGAGAUGGGGAAGACAGAUGCCACAUGAAGACCACCAAGGAACCAGGAAACAAGCAGAAGAAACAAGGACCUUCCUCCAGAGCCAACAGAGAGAGAGAGAGAGAGCCUUGCCUAGAGCCAGCGACCUGAAUUCUAGCCUCCUGAACUGUAAGAAAAUACAUUUCUGUUUGUUAAAGCCAUCCACUUGUGGUAUUUCUGUUAUAGCAACGCUAGAAGACUUAAGACAGAGUGAUCCAGGAUCAUCUCCUGCUAAGAGGCUCACCCUGAUCACAUCUACAAACACCCUUGUGAUGGUGAAGGUUGUGUGUCAACUUGGCUGGGCCAUGAUUCUCAGGGAUUUGGCAGUUAUGAUGUAGGUUGGCAGUUAUGUAAUGAUGCAAUCACCUCCGUGAUGAGACCUGAUACAAUGUAAUCACCUCCAUGAUGAGACCAGACAUAAUGUAAUCACCUCCAUGAUGAGUUGUGAUAUAAUGUAACCAUCUUCAUGAUGAGAGCUGAUGUAAUCAUCUUUAUGAUGAGAUCUUACAUAAUGUAAUCACCUCCAUGAUGAGAUCUGCUGUGAACAGCCAGUCAUUUGAAAGGGAGUUUCCUUGGGGGUGUUGCCUGCAUCCGUUGUGUGUGAACUUUCUGGCAAAGUUUGCUGGCUUUGGCUUGCUUUGCAUCCUCAUUUGACCUCUAGUUCUUGGGACUUGAGCUAGCAGCUUACCUUCUAGCAACUUAUCUUGGGUUCACCAGCCCCUGCAGCUAUGUGAGUCAGGAGAAGCUUCCAGCCUGAUGUCUGACUCACAGACUUGGGACUUUCCAGUCUCUAUAGCCACAUGAGCCGUUUCCUUGAUAUAAAUAUCUCUCUCUCUCUCUCUCUCUAUAUAUAUACAUCACUGAUUUUGCUUCUCUAGAGAACCCAGCCUAAGGCAAGCCUUUUACCAAGUGACGUUCCAUUCACAGGUUCCAGGUUCCUGGACGUGAACACAUGUUGUUGGGGUCACCGUUCACCACCCUGCACCCUGCGUUAUGAAAUGGUAUCUUCCACAAACCAACGCAGACUAUCUACCAGAUGGCAGGUGCAGUGUGGGCAGGGGUCACAUCCACAAGUACAGCAGACAGGACUCCAACACACAUUUUGGGGGGGACACAAUUCCAUCCAUAGCAGGUCUCAUCACUCCAAUCUCUGCCUCCGUCUUCACCCCCUCCUUCACUGCAGGACUUCUCCUCUGAUGCCUAAGGACACUUGUUGUUGGGUUCAGGGUGCAUCUUAAUCCAGGAUGAUCUCAUCUUUAGAUAUUUCCCUUAAUCAUGUCUAGAAAGACCUUUUUACCAAAUAAGGUUCCAUUCACAGGUCCUCUAAUGUAUCUCUUUGGAAGUCCCUAGAGUAUCAAAACCCAUUUCUGCACGUGGGUCAACAUCUUCACAAUUGACUACAACGGAUCAGCUUUCAACCCAGAGGCUGACAGGGUACCCAUUCUGGGUAGACACUCAGACAAAAUAGGGGCUCUGCCACAACACCAGGGGUAAGGAGGUGGCUGGCCUAGCAGGGGGGCUACCAUACAUCACCUCUGUGUGCUCUUCUGACCAGUGUGAGUACACUGACCACCCAGGACAGGCGUCCAUCUCCCACACUGGCUCUGUGUCUGCUCCUCUGUUCACUGUGAGGACACUGACCACCCAGGACAGACGUCCAUCUCCCACACUGGCUCUGUGUCUGCUCCUCUGUCCACUGUGAGGACGCUGACCACCAAGGACAGGCGUCCAUCUCCCACACUGGCUCUGUGUCUGCUCCUCUGUCCACUGUGAGGACACUGACCACCCAGGACAGGCGUCCAUCUCCCACACUGACUCUGUGUCUGCUCCUCUGUCCACUGUGAGGACACUGACCACCAAGGACAGACGUCCAUCUCCCACACUGACUCUGUGUUUGCUCCUCUGUCCACUGUGAGGACACUGACCACCCAGGACAGACGUCCAUCUCCCACACUGACUCUGUGUCUGCUCCUCUGUCCACUGUGAGGACACUGACCACCAAGGACAGACGUCCAUCUCCCACACUGACUCUGUGUCUGCUCCUCUGUCCACUGUGAGGACACUGACCACCCAGGACAGGCGUCCAUCUCCCACACUGACUCUGUGUCUGCUCCUCUGUCCACUGUGAGGACACUGACCACCCAGGACAGACGUCCAUCUCCCACACUGACUCUGUGUCUGCUCCUCUGUCCACUGUGAGGACACUGACCACCCAGGACAGGCGUCCAUCUCCCACACUGACUCUGUGUCUGCUCCUCUGUUCACUGUGAGGACACUGACCACCAAGGACAGACGUCCAUCUCCCACACUGACUCUGUGUCUGCUCCUCUGUUCACUGUGAGGACACUGACCACCCAGGACAGACAUCCAUCUCCCACACUGGCUCUGUGUCUGCUCCUCUGUCCACUGUGAGGACACUGACCACCCAGGACAGACGUCCAUCUCCCACACUGACUCUGUGUCUGCUCCUCUGUUCACUGUGAGGACACUGACCACCCAGGACAGACAUCCAUCUCCCACACUGGCUCUGUGUCUGCUCCUCUGUUCACUGUGAGGACGCUGACCACCCAGGACAGACAUCCAUCUCCCACACUGGCUCUGUGUCUGCUCCUCUGUCCACUGUGAGGACACUGACCACCAAGGACAGACGUCCAUCUCCCACACUGACUCUGUGUCUGCUCCUCUGUUCACUGUGAGGACACUGACCACCCAGGACAGACGUCCAUCUUCCACACUGACUCUGUGUCUGCUCCUCUGUCCACUGUGAGGACACUGACCACCCAGGACAGACGUCCAUCUUCCACACUGACUCUGUGUCUGCUCCUCUGUACAGCAUGAGGACACCGACCACCAAGGACAGACGUCCAUCUCCCACACUGGCUCUGUGUCUGCUCCUCUGCCCACUGUGAGGACACUGACCACCCAGGACAGACGUCCAUCUUCCACACUGACUCUGUGUUUGCUCCUCUGUCCACUGUGAGGACACUGACCACCCAGGACAGACGUCCAUCUCCCACACUGACUCUGUGUCUGCUCCUCUGUUCACUGUGAGGACACUGACCACCCAGGACAGACAUCCAUCUCCCACAUUGGCUCUGUGUCUGCUCCUCUGUCCACUGUGAGGACACUGACCACCCAGGACAGACGUCCAUCUCCCACACUGGCUCUGUGUCUGCUCCUCUGUCCACUGUGAGGACACUGACCACCAAGGACAGGUGUCCAUCUCCCACACUGACUCUGUGUCUGCUCCUCUGUCCACUGUGAGGACACCGACCACCAAGGACAGGCGUCCAUCUCCCACACUGACUCUGUGUCUGCUCUGUCCACUGUGAGGACACUGACUACCAAGGACAGGUGUCCAUCUCCCACACUGACUCUGUGUCUGCUCCUCUGUCCACUGUGAGGACGCUGACCACCAAGGACAGGUGUCCAUCUCCCACACUGACUCUGUGUCUGCUCCUCUGUCCACUGUGAGGACACUGACCACCAAGGACAGGUGUCCAUCUCCCACACUGACUCUGUGUCUGCUCCUCUGUACAGUGUGAGGACACCGACCACCAAGGACAGGCGUCCAUCUCCCACACUGACUCUGUGUCUGCUCCUCUGUCCACUGUGAGGACACUGACCACCCAGGACAGACAUCCAUCUCCCACACUGGCUCUGUGUCUGCUCCUCUGUCCACUGUGAGGACACUGACCACCCAGGACAGACGUCCAUCUCCCACACUGGCUCUGUGUCUGCUCCUCUGUCCACUGUGAGGACACUGACCACCAAGGACAGGUGUCCAUCUCCCACACUGACUCUGUGUCUGCUCCUCUGUACAGUGUGAGGACACCGACCACCAAGGACAGGCAUCCAUCUCCCACACUGACUCUGUGUCUGCUCUGUCCACUGUGAGGACACUGACCACCAAGGACAGGUGUCCAUCUCCCACACUGACUCUGUGUCUGCUCCUCUGUACAGCGUGAGGACACCGACCACCAAGGACAGACAUCCAUCUUCCACACUGACUCUGUGUCUGCUCCUCUGUCCAGCGUGAGGACACCGACCACCAAGGACAGGCGUCCAUCUCCCACACUGACUCUGUGUCUGCUCCUCUGUCCACUGUGAGGACGCUGACCACCAAGGACAGGUGUCCAUCUCCCACACUGACUCUGUGUCUGCUCCUCUGUCCACUGUGAGGACACUGACCACCAACGACAGGUGUCCAUCUCCCACACUGACUCUGUGUCUGCUCCUCUGUACAGUGUGAGGACACCGACCACCAAGGACAGGCGUCCAUCUCCCACACUGACUCUGUGUCUGCUCUGUCCACUGUGAGGACACUGACCACCAAGGACAGGUGUCCAUCUCCCACACUGACUCUGUGUCUGCUCCUCUGUACAGCAUGAGGACACCGACCACCAAGGACAGGCGUCCAUCUCUCACACUGACUCUGUGUCUGCUCCUCUGUACAGCAUGAGGACACUGACCACCAAGGACAGACGUCCAUCUCCCACACUGACUCUGUGUCUGCUCCUCUGUCCACUGUGAGGACACUGACCACCCAGGACAGACGUCCAUCUCCCACACUGACUCUGUGUCUGCUCCUCUGUUCACUGUGAGGACGCUGACCACCCAGGACAGACAUCCAUCUCCCACACUGGCUCUGUGUCUGCUCCUCUGUCCACUGUGAGGACACUGACCACCAAGGACAGGUGUCCAUCUCCCACACUGACUCUGUGUCUGCUCCUCUGUACAGUGUGAGGACACCGACCACCAAGGACAGGCGUCCAUCUCCCACACUGACUCUGUGUCUGCUCUGUCCACUGUGAGGACACUGACCACCAAGGACAGGUGUCCAUCUCCCACACUGACUCUGUGUCUGCUCUGUCCACUGUGAGGACACUGACCACCAAGAAUAGACGUCCAUCUCCCACACUGACUCUGUGUCUGCUCUGUCCACUGUGAGGACACUGACCACCAAGGACAGGUGUCCAUCUCCCACACUGACUCUGUGUCUGCUCCUCUGUACAGUGUGAGGACACCGACCACCAAGGACAGACAUCCAUCUCCCACACUGACUCUGUGUCUGCUCUGUCCACUGUGAGGACACUGACCACCAAGGACAGGUGUCCAUCUCCCACACUGACUCUGUGUCUGCUCCUCUGUACAGCGUGAGGACACCGACCACCAAGGACAGGCGUCCAUCUCCCACACUGACUCUGUGUCUGCUCUGUCCACUGUGAGGACACUGACCACCAAGAAUAGACGUCCAUCUCCCACACUGACUCUGUGCCUGCUCUGACCAGUGCGAGGACACUGACCACCCAGGACAGACAUCCAUCUCCCACGCUGACUCGACCAAGCUACAUCAACAGGCCACCAUUGUCUUGUCCCCUUGGUGGGUGUCUUUGGAGGAGCCGUAGCCCACAGCCUAGGAAUCUGCAAAUUCACGGUCAAUCUUCCAAGGGUCUCCCUGGAAACAUCCGGCCCCAUUCCCAUGGUAGCCCUCAUGGCUGGCGGCACUUCUAUUUCCGUCCUUCCCUUCCUCUGAGACUUGCUGGCUUUCAUUACUCUGUCAGCACCAAGGCCUCAGCUCCCUUGGGGGUGCUGACACAUCCUGUCCCCUUUUCCCAAUCUGAGAUUCAGUCCCAAAUAACUCUAGCUCAGUUCCUUGCUUCUGCCCAAACUCCUGACCUCCGCAUAAGCAAGUUUAAUCUUCCUGGGGCCUGCAGACACCUUUGACAUCCAGUGGGGGCUCUGAGUCCAUUUUCCUGACACACACACACACAAAACUCGAUAUACAGUUUCAUGGGUUCAUGUUGUCGUUAGGUGCCCUUGAGUCAAUUCUUACUCCUAGCGACCCCAUGUGACAGAGAAGAACUGCCCCAUAAGGUUUUCAAGGAUGUAAUCUUUACAGAGGCAGAUUGCCAGGUCUUUUCUUCUGCGGUACCACUGCGUGAGUGUGAACCAACGACCUCUAGGUUAGUAGUUAAGUGCAAACCAUUUAAUUAACCACCCUGGUCAUUAUGCCAGGGAUGAGCCUCCUGUCUGUUUUAUAUCAGGGUGCCCACCCUGAAGUCAAUCACACACACAAAGCAGGGAUCAGCAAACUAGAGCCCAUGGAGUUAUCUGGCCCCCAUUGCCUGUUUUUGUCAAUAAAGUUUUAUCAGCACACAGCCACGCCAUUUCGGCAACAUAUUGUGUGUGGCUGCUUUUGCCAUGUAACAGCAGAGAGUAGUUGUGACAGAUACCGUGUGGUUUGCAAAGCCUAAAAUAUUUACCAUCUGGCCCUUUGUGAAAAAAUUUUCUGAUCCCUAUCAAAGAGCCACAUAUUCAUAAAAAGGCCAAGACCUCCCCUGGCAGGUCUGGGAUGACUUCGGACCAUCAACAGCCUGAUAAUUACAGCCCGACCUUGCAAAGAGGUAUGAAAACCAUCUCUCCGAACACUUUUAGCCUUGGCUAGGGCUUCUUUUGGACGGUGAGACAUUGGCUCGCUUACUUUGGACAAGUUGUUGUUGUUAGGUGUCAUCGAGUCAGUUCCAACCCACAGAGACCCCAUGGACAAUAGAGGGAAACACUGCCCAGUCCUGCGCCAUCCUCACAAUUGUUGCUAUGUUUGAGCCCAUCAUUGCAGUCACUGUGUAAAUCCCCUUCCUCUUUUUCACUGACCGUCUACUUUUCCAAGCAUGAUGUCUUUCUCCAGAGACUGGUCCCUCCUGAUAAUAUGCCCAAAGUACGUGAGACAAAGUCUCACCAUCCUCACUUCUAAGGAGCAUUCUGGCUGUACUUCUUCCAAGACAAACCUAUUCGCUUUUCUGGCAGUCCAUGGUGUAUUCAAUAUUCUUCUUUGCCAAUACCGUAAUGGAAAGCUGCCAAUUCUUCUUUGGUGUCCAGACAUGUUAUCAGGAGGGACCAGUCCCUGGAGAAGGAUAUCUGCUUGGUAAAGCAAAAAAGAGGAAGCCCCUCAACAUGAUGGAUUGACACGGUAGCUGGAAGCAUACCUACUAGUGUGAGGAUGGUGCAGGAUGGGGCAACAUCUCAUUCUGUUAUACAUGAGGUUGUCCUGAGUUGGAGCCAACUCAACGGCACCCGACAACAACAAGAAGAGUUGGAUUUAUCAUUGGUUUUUCAGCUACAAUAUUGCUGUAAUGAGUAUUUUUGAACCUAUGGUCUCAUUGGUGCAUCUUCUCUGCAGAGUUGUUCUCCUUCCAUCUUCUGAUUCUCUAUGCUGUACCAACUCGCAAGCCUCAAAAUCUUUAAAAAAAAAAAAAAAAAAAGUGUCUUUGGUAAGGAUCGCAUGACUACGUCCACAGUAUUUCCAGGGAGUACAAAAGGUCUCACGCAUUCACCUCGGCUGGUCCUCAAGGCUACCUGUAGAAGGAAUCUAGGUAUUUUCGCUAUCUUCACUCAUCAUGCUGACUUUGGGGCUCAGAGGUCCUCACCUUUGCCAUGGCAGACUCAGAGUCUUCUCGUCCGAUUCCCAUAUAACAUCCCCCCCCGCCCCCGUCUCCUGCGUAAUAACCGUGCUGCCUCAUUCCAAUCAGAAGGGUUCACACUUUUUGCGUGAUAGAGUCAGAUCUUUUCAUCCAAAUUCCAUAUCACUCCCUGGUCUCCCAAGUCUUCACUGUGCUGUGUCAUUGCAUCCUGGGCUUUGCAGCAAAUUCUCCCUCAGGAUCAAGGGAGCCAGAGCCUGGACCUGGGCUCACCCGUGGAUCUUCCUAGGGCUUCAGCUCUCCCUUCCUAAAGCAUCUAAAGUACAAGGUACUGUGACAUUGUCUUGUUGACUUGUGAGUGUGUGUGCUGUGUGUGGGUGUGGUGUGUGUAUGUGGGGGUGUGUGAGCAUUGUGAUACGUUAUGUGGUGUGUGUGAUAUGUGUGGGUGUGGUGUGUGUGAGUGUGUUGUGUGUGUGAUGUGUAAGCAGUGUAUGAUGGCGUGCGUGUAUGUAUGUCUGUGGUGUAUGUGUGUUUGUGGGGUCCGUGUGGUGUGUGCACAAUGUGUGUGGCAUGUGUAUAUGGCGUGUGUGUGUUGUAGGGGGUGUGUGAGUAUUGUGAUGUGUUAUGUGGUGUGUGUGAUAUGUGUGGGUGUGGUGUGUGUAUGUGGGGUGUGUGUGAGUGUGUUGUGUGUGUGGAUGUGUACGGUGUGUGUGAUGUGUAAGUAGCAUAUGAUGGCCUGAGUGUAUGUAUGUCUGUGGUGUAUGUGUGUUUGUGGGGCCCGUGUGGUGUGUGCGCAAUGUGUGUAGCAUGUGUAUAUGGCGUGUGUGUGUUGUCUGUGUGUUUGUGGUGCAUGUGUGGUGUGUGUGGUGGUUGGGUGUGUACAUGUGAUGUGUGGGUGGAGUGUGUCAUUGUGUGUGUAGUUGUGUGUGUAUGUGUGUGGCUUUGUACCUGUGGUUGUGUGUAUAUGGUGUGUGUGUGGUUGUGUGUGUGAGCGUGUGUGGUAUAUGUGGUUGUGUGUGUAGUGUGUAUAUAUGGUGUAUAUGUGAGUGUGGUGUGUGUAGGGUGUGUUUGGUUGUGUGUGUGGUGUGUGUAUACGGUGUGUAGUUGUGUGUGUGUAGUGUGUGUGGUGUGUGCAUAUGGUGUGUAGUGUGGUUGUGUGUGUGUAGUGUGUGUAUGUGGUGUGCAUGGUUGUGUGCGUAGUAUGUGUACAUGGCAUAUGUGGUGUGUGUAUAUGGUGUGUGUAGUGUGUGUAUGUAGUGUGUGUGGUGUGCUUGGCUGUGUGUGUGUAGUGUGUAUAUGUGGUGUGUUGGGUUGUGCGUGUACAGUGUGCUGUGUGUGUGUAAAGUGUGUCUAUGGUGCGUGUGGUGUGUGUGUGGACACCAUGUACACACACCACCCACUGCACAGCUGGCAGGCUGAAGUCCUGUGGAACGCAGUAAUCCCAGUGCAGAUCAGGGUGCCCCGCAGUUUGGGUGCCUGUCACGUUCCGGCCACACACCGAAAGAUGCCGCAAUGCGAGCAGUUUUAGAAUGUAAAAGGAAGCAUGUUCCGUUAGGAUUUUUUAUGUAUUUAUAUAAAACAAACAAACCAGGAAUCCGGUCUGUCUGGGAACGCCCUUCAGUCCUCUGUCCAGCAUUGCAGGAUCAGGGCGAUGGUCCUCUCCGUUCCCGGCUCCAGGGGCGCCCUUUAUGCAGAAAGCCUAUGUGGGCACUGCGGGGUCCUCCAUGUCCUUCCAGAACACCUCUCGGGGGUCACGGGCUGGGGAAGCGGCCCCGCCCGGGCAGGGUGCCAGGUGACAGUCACAGGCCCCCGCUGCGCUCCAGCGCGUCCAGCCCCUGCUGAGAGCCAGUGCACAGUCACAGGAAAUUUCGCAGGGCUUCCUCUCCACCUUAGCAGGUCCCCGUGGCAGUUGCAGCUCCUUUAGGACGGUGCCGAAUUUGCAUCGGGACGCCUCCAUCCACGGGCGUGAUGCCACUUUUACCACCUCCUGCGGAAGCUUAGCAGCCACUCGGACAGGACCGUUUGCCGACCCGGGGUAAUCCAGAGGCAGGCGGACCGCCUGGGUCUGCACAGCUGCUCGUUCAACGCUCCGAGGAGGAGGCAGCUGUCAGCCACGGUCCUGAGCCCAUGGCUCUAGGGCUCUCGAAGAGACCACCUCCACCGCUGCUGCUACAGGCUGAGGUGGUGGUUGGCCACACAACAUUGCGAAUGGACUCCAUGCCCCUGAACUGCGCACUUCAAAACAGUUAAUUUUACGGGUCAGAUGUCGUUGGCUCCUUAGCGGCAGUGUUUGUGAUAAACCUAGUCCAGCAUUGCUAUGACAACAAGGGAUCCCAGGAGACAGCUCAUCUGGGAAAUAAAGGGUUUCCAAGGAGUGGCUGGUGGAUUCCAACUUGCGGCCUUUUGAUUAACAGCCAAACACUUAAGCACUGUGCAACCCGGGCCCUGUCGCUUAUAAAGACAUCACUAAAAUGGGAUUAGGAGCCCUGGUGGUGCAACGGUUAAGCACGUGGCUGCUAACCAAAGGAUUGGAGGUUUGAACCCACCCCGCAGGCCCUCGGAAGAAGGACCUGAUGAUCUCCCGCAAAGCUUACAGCCUGGGAAACCUACGGGGGAGCUCUACUCUCUAACACAAGGGGCCGCUAUGAGUUGGAAUCAACGCGAAGGCACAUCACAACAAUACAUCAAAACCAAAAAACCCACAGCCAUCGAGUCAUUCCGACUCAGAGCGACCCCAUAGGGUUUCUGGGGCUGUCAGCCUCUCCCGUAGCAGACCGACACAUCUUUCUCUCGCGGAGGCACCGGUGGGUUCAGACCACCAACCUUCUGGUUGGCAAUCAAUCGCUUUAACCGCUGCCCCCUGUAUAUAUCAAAACACUUGCCAUUUUAACCAUUUUGAAGUGUGCAACUCAGUGACAUCAGUUAUCUUCAUCGUGUUGCACAAGCAUUGCUACCAACCGUUUUCAAAUGUUUUUCGUCCCCCUAAACAGAACCUCGGAGCGCCUUAAGCAAUAACUCGCCACUCCUACCCACCCCCCACCCAGCCCCUAGUAAGCCCUAAUAAACUUUCGUCUCUAUGCAUUUGCCCAAAAAGAACAGAAAUUUAUUGUCUCAGUUCUGGGGACCAGAAGCCCAAGUUCGAGGUGUGGACAGGGCUGCGCUCCCUCCGGAGUCUCUAGGGGGGGAUCCUUCCUGGUCUCUCCCAGCUGCUGGUGGCCCCAGGUGUUCCUGGGCUUGUGGCCACAUCACUGCAAUCCCUGCUCCGUCUUCACGUGGCGUCUCCCCUCUGUCUGUCUCUUAUAAGGAACCCGGUCAUUGGAUUUAUGGCCCACCCUAAUCCAGGAGUCCCUGGGUUAUAGUAUUUUUUGCAAAUAAUGUGCCCACAUAAAUGACAUAAAAUGCACAUUUAUGAAAAUAGCUCUUGGGAAAAAGGGGUUGCGAGGUUGGUAAAAAACAUUAUUUGCGUUAAAAUAUAGUAAACGCUCAACUAUUACCUGAAAGGCUGGUGGUUCGAACCCACCCAGGGGCACCUCUGAAGACAGGCCCGGCAACCUGCUUCCGAAAGGUCACAGCCUUGAAAACCCUGUGGGGCACACUUCUACUCUGCACACCUGGGGUCGCCAUGAGUUGGAAUUGACUCGACAGCAGCAACUAGUCCAGGCUGGCCUUCUCUCUAGGUCUGUACCUUAAUCUCACCUACAGAGACCCUUUUCCCAAUGAGGUAGCAUUCAGAGGUCCCGGGGCUGAGGGUGUGGACAUGGCUUUUGGGGGCGCCGUUCAUUGGAAGCCCUGGGUUACGGCUGAAAGAGACUUCCAUGCUGUGGGUAUGGGCACAGCAGGGGGACAGAGCCCUCUAGAGGGCCCCAAAGACAGAGCAGGAAGUGGAGCCAGGCCCUCGGCAGAGUGUGUGGCCCUUCCUGACUGUCAUCAACCCGAUUUGGGAUGAGUCCCUGUUAGAAGUCGCGAGGGAGAGCAGGUUGGAGACCACUAGCCAAGGCCGGCAGAAACAGACCCAUUUACUGUGGACCUUACAGUUGAUCACGCUGACAUUGUUCGCCGUUGUCUAGUCGGCCCGGACUCACCGCACCCCCACGCACAACUGAACGAAACAGUGCCCGGCCCUGAGCCACCCCAUGAUCUGUUCUGGAUCAGACCCUUAAGACCCACUGGGUUUUUGCUGGCUGAUUUUUGGAAGUAGAUCUCCAGGCCUUUCCUCCUAGUCUCUCUCAGUCUGGAAGCUCCACUGAAACCCGUUCAGCGUCAUAGCAACACGCAAGCCUCCACAGACAGACGGGUGGGGGCUGUGUCUGAGGUACACUGGCUGGGAAGCGAAUUCAGGUCUCCCAAAUGGAAGGUGAGGAUUGUAUCAUGGAACCACCACUGUCCUGCUAUAAACGGUCAUUAAAAAAAUUGAAAAGCCAGUUGCCCUACAGUUAACUCUGACUCAUAGCACCCCGUGUUUGUCGGAGUAGAACUGUGCCCCGCGGGGUUUUCAGUGGGUGAUUUUUCAGAAGUAGAUUGCCAGGCCUUCCUUCUGAGACACUCCUGGGUGAACUCAAACCACCAACCUUCCAGUUAGCAGCCCGGGGGGUUCAAUGUUUGCACCGCCCGGGGACUCACGGCUGGUCGUAGAGGACAACAACCCCAAACCAAGACGUGACUUUGCUUCCAAAGAUAAAAACACAAACCAAACCAGAUCGGAGGGAACCUGAGUCUGCAAACCUACCUCCAGGGGCCUAGCGGCACCUCAUGGGGGUCUGACGUUUCUCUGCCUGAGCUGGGCCACAGGGACCAGAUCCCGCCCCAGGAGGCAGCUGAGGGGGCCAGCUGGUGGUACGAGGGAAGGGCAGAGACGCUUGCAGCACCUGGGAGACUGAG